rnacentral:lncRNA from 1 species
CAAAGUGAGAUUACAGGCGUGAGCCACUGUGCUGGGCCAUUUUUUUUUUCUAAUAUUUUUGAUCCAUGGUUGGUUGAUGUAGAACCCAUGGAUACGGAGGGCUGACUGUAUUUUCCUGAUGACUAAAGUUGAGCACUAUUUCAUGAAGGCAUAGUUUCAAAAUGCAUAAAUCUAUCAUGCCAGUUCCUUGCUUAAAACCCUUUGACGGCUCUCCAUCUCAUCAGGAAUAACACCCAAACCCCUUCCCAUGGACCACAAGGCCCUGAACAUUCUUGCCUUCACCCACCUUGUACACACUGUUCCAGCCAUGGAAGAAUCCUUCCAUUCUUCCAACAAGCCAAACUUUUGUUUUUAUCUCAGGGUCUUUGUUCUUGCUGUCCCCUCAGCCUGGCUGGUUCCUUCUUGUCAUGCAGUUCUCAUUAUAAACAUCGUUUCUCCAGAAGCAUCGUUUAUCAUUCUAUAUAAAGCCAUCUCUCCCUACACAUACACAGAUGUGCAUGCACACACAUGCACACGUUACUCUCAAUCCCAUUACCCUGUUCUUUUCUUUUUGCUGUACUUCAUCAUUCUCUGAAAUUACCAUGUGUUUACAUGUUACAUAGACUUUCUGUGAAAACAACAGCUACAGAUCUAAACCAAUCUUGAGUGAGUGACUCAAAAAUCACAAGCAUCGCUGUCACUGAUGAUGUGGUUUUCUGAAAUGGAGAACAACUCUUAGUAAAGGUCCAAACAAAACAAACUACAAGUGUCUCUCCAUUCUUCAUAGUUCAUUCUUAAAAAAAACAAAACAGUAAAACCAUAUAAAAAGUACUUUGUGUUUACAUGUAAAUGAACUUUGGUUUAGUAUCACGUUUAUAAACAAAAUUUUCACCAAAAUUAAUAACCAGUGGAACAUCUGAAUGUUGUGUUGGACACCGGACAGAUGUUUGUUAUGCAGGACUGUCCCAGAAUGCACUGCAGAGCAUCUAGCAAACCUGCCCCUGCCCAUUAAAUGCUGGUAAGGCUCCUCAAUCACUAUCACCACAAAAACACUCUCAUACAUUUCCAAAACACCCCCUGGUGGGCAGUACUGCACACUGUAAAAGUCCAUAUGUCUAUAGAAAGGGUACACUAUCAUUUACCUAAGAGUGUGUGUGAGAAGACAAAUGAAGUCAUCUAAACGGCUCUGCAUUGUGCCUGGCAGAUAAUAAGUGCUUAAUAAAUAUAAACUUACUUCAUCCUUCCUUCUUUCCUUCAUCUGGCCAUAGGUUCUCAGUGUGAUCAAUAAGGAACAUCUGUCAUCAACCCUGGCUACAGGAAGGAAGGUACACUAAAUAUUUCAAGGAGUGAGUUUCAAGGUAUAUUGUCUCCUCUAGAAGAGUUUCCUUGGACAUCCCAGCAGAACCGUCACUCCCUCUUCUGUGUAUCCACAGGCCCUGUACCUUCUUCUACCAUGGUAUGUUCAAUGUUGUGUGUUUUUGUGCUUGGCUAACUCCCCAAAUGCCCUGCAAAAACUGUAUCUGGUUCAUCUUUAUUAUAUUCCUGAUAACUAGCUCAGUACCCUGGCACAUAAUAGAAGCCCAACAAAAGUUUACCAACCUCUCCCCAGCUUUGGAUCUUAGAAUAAACACACCACUGAGUCAAUGUCACAAAGAUUGUUCACAACACCAUUAUCCAGGCUAUAUAUUGAGGUUCUCGUUAAUAAGGGUUUGUGGUCCAAAGG